rnacentral:misc_RNA from 1 species
UUAAGUUCAGCGGGUAUUCCUACCUGAUCCGAGGUCAAACUCAGAGAGUCGGGGGUUUCACGGCGUGGCCGCGCCGGGAUCCGGUGCGAGGUGUAGUACUACGCAAGGGACGCCGCAGCGUGACCGCCACUGGAUUUAGGGGGCGGCGGGCCGACCCCGGAGGGUACGGCCGGUGCCGGUCCCCAACGCCGCGGCCCCCG